GGAGGCAUAGUCUAAUGGUAGGACGACACCCUUACACGGUGUAGGUCUGGGUUCGAUUCCCUGUGCCUCCA
rnacentral:tRNA from 1 species